GAUCCAUGGCUCAGGAUGAACGCUGGCUACAGGCUUAACACAUGCAAGUCGAGGGGCAGCAUGGUCUUAGCUUGCUAAGACUGAUGGCGACCGGCGCACGGGUGAGUAACACGUAUCCAACCUGCCGUCUACUCUUGGACAGCCUUCUGAAAGGAAGAUUAAUACAAGAUGGCAUCAUGAGUCCGCAUGUUCACAUGAUUAAAGGUAUUCCGGUAGACGA
rnacentral:rRNA from 1 species